rnacentral:rRNA from 1 species
UACGGGGGGGGUAAGCGUUGUUCGGAAUUACUGGGCGUAAAGGGCUCGUAGGCGGCCAACUAAGUCAUACGUGAAAUCCCUCAGCUUAACUGGGGAACUGCGUGUGAUACUGGCGGGCUUGAAUCCGGGAGAGGGAUGUGGAAUUCCAGGUGUAGCGGUGAAAUGCGUAGAUAUCUGGAGGAACACCGGUGGCGAAGGCGGCAUCCUGGACCGGUAUUGACGCUGAGGCGCGAAAGCCAGGGGAGCAAACGGG